rnacentral:rRNA from 1 species
UACGUAGGGGGCUAGCGUUGUCCGGAAUCAUUGGGCGUAAAGAGCGUGUAGGCGGCCCGGUAAGUCCGCUGUGAAAGUCGGGGGCUCAACCCUCGAAAGCCGGUGGAUACUGUCGGGCUAGAGUGCGGAAGAGGCGAGUGGAAUUCCUGGUGUAGCGGUGAAAUGCGCAGAUAUCAGGAGGAACACCGAUUGCGAAGGCAGCUCGCUGGGACGUAACUGACGCUGAGACG